CUCCGUGCAGGUCGCCUUAUGCAUGCAGUCGAACGGGGUUAUGGUUUUCGGAUUGUAACCUAGUGGCAGACGGCUGAGUAACACGUAAGUAACCCGCCUUGGAGUGGGAAAUAACCUGCCGAAAGGCAAGCUAGUGUCCCAUGUGGUAAUGAAGCGUAAGCUUCAUUACUAAAGCUGCAAAGCGCUCCAAGAGGGGCUUGCGUCUGAUUAGCUAGUUGGUAGGGUAACGGCCUACCAAGGCGAUGAUCAGUAGCUGGUCUGAGAGGAUGGUCAGCCAGAUGGGGACUGAGACACGGCCCCAACUCCUACGGGAGGCAGCAGCAAGGAAUUUUGGGCAAUGGACGAAAGUCUGACCCAGCGACACCGCGUGAGGGAAUAAGGCCUUCGGGUUGUAAACCUCUUUUCUUGGGGAAGAAUCUCGACGGUACCCAAGGAAUAAGCCUCGGCCAACUACGUGCCAGCAGCCGCGGUAAUACGUAGGAGGCGAACGUUAUUCGGAUUUACUGGGCGUAAAGGGAGCGUAGGCGGUUCCUUAAGUCAGAUGUGAAAUCUUCUGACUCAAUCAGAAGGCGCCAUUUGAUACUGAGGGACUUGAGAGCAGCAGAGGGAAAUGGAAUCUCCAGUGUAGCGGUGAAAUGCGUAGAUAUUGGAGAGAACACCAGUGGCAAAGGCGAUUUCCCAGGCUGUUUCUGACGCUGAGGCUCGAAAGCGUGGGGAGCGAAGCGGAUUAGAUACCCGCGUAGUCCACGCCCUAAACGGUGGACACUAGAUAUGGGAGGUAUCGACCCUUUCUGUGUCGAAGCUAACGCUUUAAGUGUCCCGCCUGGGGAGUACGGCCGCAAGGCUG
rnacentral:rRNA from 1 species